CCCUGGGCCAGUAGGCAGCACUUGUCCCUGGCAGUCACCAGCAGCAACAGGGGGAAGGCUCAGGAGUAGGGGGUUUGACUUCCUGCCUCCCCCAAGGAAGGACCCAGAGCUGGAGUCAGAAGCGGAAACGCGACUAGCUGUUUUGGCAAGCCUAGGAGGAAGGCGUGAGCCUGGGUGCACAGUGUGUGCGGUGUGAGCAAAGCCACAUUUUGGAACGGGCCCCGCACCGGGCAUGUCCCAUGCUGCCGCCUGCGGCACCUCAGCGGGCAGCUACCCUCUGCCCGUGUACUCUAAGCUACCACCUUGCUCACGUAUUCGCACUGUUGCUGGGUUUAAUGUUUCCGGAAUCCCAGCCCUCUACCUGCAUGCCCUCCUGUGUCAGGCAUCUGCCCCGUGCCUCAGGGUCCCAGCUCCUGCCCCCCCACGCUCACACCAACUCUUGCUUUCUGUGUGCCAGGGGAACUGGCCGGUGGCUAUGGCUGUCCUGCUCCAGUAUAGCCUCAUCUUACCUGAUGAGGUCUGUGAAGACCCUGUUUCCACAGGUUCCAGUGGACACAGAUUCUGGAGGAACCCCUUCACCCCAGUCAGCUGGGAUAUACAGACCUGGACCAAUGCCCAGGAAGACCAGAGUGCUAACUGCUCCGUGGGUGGUCAGCAGAGGUCGGUGCUGGUGACCUUCCCAGAGGUCAUAGCCUUCUGGGCCUUGCACUUCCCGAUGACACCUCCUCUCUGACUUGAGCCCAGCCAGAGCCCAGCAUCGUGAGGGAGAGUUCCCAUGGCUGUAGUGACCCUCUUAGCUGCUGCCUUUGGCUCCUAAAGUGGGCUGCAAGCUGGACACCGUGUCUAACCAACGAAGAUUGACCUGUUUGGGGCUCCUCUCUGCAGCUGAGCGAUUUGAUCUGCGCUCCAGACAGCAGGAGCGACAGUAAUUGGAUGUUAUGAAAUCGGAGUGCUGCUCUCCGAGAAGCAGGUAGUUCGGUGGCCUGCGGGCAGCGCGGGAGGGGCUCUGCCGGCAGGUGAAGGUGGGGAGCGACUAGAGAUAAGGCCCCAGUCCUCAGCCCUAAUCUCCCACCAGGGUCAUGAACAGAGCCCCAGGCAAGAUGGAAUGAGCACGGCCACAAUCCCACAACCGGCCUGGCUGCCCCCAGGGGGCUGUACAAUUAGUUUUAAAUAUCAAUUUCAUGGCUGCUCAGGGGAGGAGAUGACGGGACAGGCGUCACCGGCAGCAAAGUUGGGUGUUUUUCACCAGUUUCUACUCUGUAGAAAGAGAGCGGAAGCUAGUGAAGCAGGCUCCAUCGACUGGACUCUUUUAUCGUCUUCCGGGACGGCCCCAGCCCCAAUAUCCAGGACCCCCACUUCCCUGCUUCCUCCUCCUGAUCCCAGUUCUUGGAGACCCCUUCCACUCCCACACCUUUGGCCACCCUUCCUGCUCCUCAUCAGACCCCAGUCUCCUUGCUUUUGGGAGAACCUAGAAUGGAGAUGGCCCCAAAGACAGGGCAGUGGGGGUUGCACAGAGUUCAUGGGUAGACAAGAGGGGAAGGCCUGCGUGAGUACCACAACAGAGAAGAACCUCUGACAACAGCCUUAAAAUAACAGCCAGAGGGUAUAGUAGGGAGGGACGCCAUUGCUUGGCCUCCAUGAGUAGGGACCAGGAAGGAUGCCAAGGUUCCUAGUAGAGCUGCUCAGGGGCUCUCUGACUCCAUAUUAUGGAUGUCUCCUUCCACCCCUCCCACCUCGGGCCAGCUGUGCUGGCCUAGGCUGCAUAGGGGCAUCCUGGACUUUGCUGCCUGGACCUGGAAGACUGAGCUGAGACCCUAGCCGAGUCUAAGAGUGCUCACGCAGGCUGUUGAGUGAAGGAAACCUCGAAGCUGUGGCACCUACAGGUGUCCAGCAGGUGUCCACACAGGUAAGCGUGCCUUCGCUCACAGUAACUGGGAACACUGUGGACUGUGAUCACGGUGGGGUGGGGAGAACGCACUGGGACUGAGCGGUCUCAGCAUCUUGCUGGCAGGCUGGGCGGGCCCUCCAGAGCCCCCAGUGCAGGCUUACUACGUGCUCUGUUGCUCACUGAGAGCCUCUGGAUAGGGGCUCAGCCCUGCCCGGGCUGAUCGAACGUCACCAGACAUCACGGGAGGGAACGCUGGCCAGUGGGGGCGACCCGGUGUCCGUGGCUGCCCAUGAGGCUCUCACCCGAUAGUGCGCUGCAGCCGCAGGCAAUUUAUCUCCGUCUCACUGCUCUUAAAACGCUCUUAUCAAAAUUGGCGGUCACGCUGCGCUGAACUUCGGUGGCCUCAAUCUUCACCGAAGUGCUGCAGAUUUUAAUUCGGGGAAGAUUAACGCGCUGCCAGCCCCACACCUCCUGUUAGCAUCCUGAUGGGCGUCAGCCUCCCACCACACCCUGUCCUCAAGGGUCUGUGUCUUCCAGCCAUGUGAGAACUGAAGUGAGGCACAUGUCUGUCCUGUCCUGUUACAACCCCCCCCUCCCAUACUGAGGUACUGGCCCUGCGCAAGUCAGAAUGGCUGACAUGCCCCCAGACGCUCAGUAUAAUGCUGCCCGCUGCAACCCAAGUUAAGGGGUUAUCACUGCAACCUGCUCUUGAUGGACCCUGAGACCCUAAGACCUGCAAACUUCCCUUAACUGGGAAACCUGGGACCCCACUUGUGGGCAGCAGCUCCUCUCAAAUGCUUCUGUAGAGUUGCCUUCCCUGUAUUACCAUCCCCUAUUCUCUUGCCAGGGCGUGACCGAGGCCUGCUAUAACCCUGCCUUUGCUUUGUCCUUGAUCUCACAGGUCUCCCAGCCCAGAAGCGUGGGCCCUGAGCAGCAGGGCCCUCUCCUCAGUCAGCAUCUCAUGCCGUCACUGCUCCCCAGCUCCCCCUGAUGGCAUGUCUGGUGUGUGUCCCACAGGUCCUGACCCAGGAUGCACUUCCCAGGAAUCCAUAACCCUCUCUCUACCAGGCCCUUCUCCCGCCUGGUCGAGAUGAGGAGACCUCUCUUGAUUCCUCGAUUUGAGCUUAUGAGCAUUUGAGCUUAUGGCCCUGUAUAUCCUUACCAUCCUAUCCUUUGCCUGCAUUUGUUCACUGGCGCUAUAGACGCCCCCUGAGGCGCUUAUCACUUUGCACUUGCCAGACCCCUAGACAGAAAGGGACCCCUUGCCUCAACUCCUCUUCAUCCAAUGCUAGGCCAAUGGGCACAGGGCAGAUACUUACCCAGAUCCAGUGGCUGCUGGAUGCUGAGGCCUUUGCCACAGCCUGCAAUGGCUGAUCUUGAAAGCGUUUGGAUCAGUUGUUCUGGGUCUGUCUGCCAGGCUAGCGAGGGACACAUGGGAGGGGAGGGACCCUGAUGGAGGGAUAGGUAGGAGUGAGGAGAGGCAGGGGGUAAAGGCCGGUGAGGAUAUUUCUGAUCUGUGCCAGGCUCUCUGACCUCAGGAGUUUCGGGUCACAUGCUGGAAGGGCUCUCAUGGGAGAGAGAGAAAAGUAUUGAACAUGAGUGAUCUGCACUGGAACCCUAGGGUCUGAACAACCUUGACUCCCCAAUUUCCACUGGGCUAGCCUUGCCUUGCUAAUCCUGGAGUUAUGGAAGGCUCUCCGUGAGCUCCCUUCUGAAGCCCCCCUUCACUGCCACUCUGGACACCAACAAGCUAGAGGUGCAGGAGAGGAUGUGACACAGCACACGAUGGCACUUUCUGCCUCUAGGCAGCUUCCCUGACACUCCAGCGAAUGCUGCUGUGUCCUCCCUACCCCGGAUCUCUGCUAAGAUGCUACUCUUCCGGUGUAUCCCCUUUCUGUACAGGACUCCCACAGUGUACACCAGCCAAAUAAACUAUGUGUCUUAGGGAUUUUAAAA